AUCUUAUCAAGAGUAGGUGGAGGGACAAGCCCGAUGAAGCCCGGCAACCGGCAAUGCGCACAUAUGAAGCGCGAUGCACGGUGCUAAUUCUUGCAGGGACGAUGGAAUUCGUUACUGACAGAUGAGAG
rnacentral:ncRNA from 1 species